AGGAUAAACGCUGGCGGCGUGCAUGAGACAUGCAAGUCGAACGGGCCUCUCGGGCUUGCCUGAGACGCUAGUGGCGGACGGCUGAGUAACGCGUGGGUGACCUACCCCGAAGUGGGGAAUAACUGCCCGAAAGGGUGGCUAAUACCGCAUGUGAUCGUCCAUUCAGUUAGGCGAUCAAAGCAGCAAUGCGCUUCGGGAGGGGCCUGCGUCCGAUUAGCUCGUUGGUGGGGUAACGGCCCACCAAGGCGACGACGGGUAGCCGGCCUGAGAGGGUGACCGGCCACACUGGGACUGAGACACGGCCCAGACUCCUACGGGAGGCAGGCAGUGGGGAAUAUUGCACAAUGGGCGCAAGCCUGAUGCAGCAACGCCGCGUGAGGGACGACGGCCUUCGGUUGUAACCUCUUUUAGUAGGAAGAAGCGAAAGUGACGGUACCGUGACAAGAAAAGCGAACCGGCUAACUACGUGCCAGCAGCCGC
rnacentral:rRNA from 1 species